rnacentral:rRNA from 1 species
GUUGGGUAGGGGAGCGUUCUGUAAGCCUGCGAAGGUGUACUGUGAGGUAUGCUGGAGGUAUCAGAAGUGCGAAUGCUGACAUAAGUAACGAUAAUGCGGGUGAAAAACCCGCACGCCGGAAGACCAAGGGUUCCUGUCCAACGUUAAUCGGGGCAGGGUGAGUCGACCCCUAAGGCGAGGCUGAAAAGCGUAGUCGAUGGGAAACGGGUUAAUAUUCCCGUACUGGUGGUAACUGCGAUGGGGGAACGGAGAAGGCUAGGUUGUCCGGGCGACGGUCGUCCCGGUUCAAGCAGGUAGGCAGAGUGAUUAGGCAAAUCCGGUCACUUAAUGCUGAGAUGUGAUGACGAACCACCAAGGUGGUGAAGCAAUUGAUGCCCCGCUUCCAGGAAAAGCCUCUAAGCUUCAGGUUACCAACAAUCGUACCCCAAACCGACACAGGUGGUCAGGUAGAGAAUACUCAGGCGCUUGAGAGAACUCGGGUGAAGGAACUAGGCAAAAUGGUGCCGUAACUUCGGGAGAAGGCACGCUGGCGGUAGGUAAAGUCCCUUGCGGACGGCGCUGAAGCCAGUCGAAGAUACCAGCUGGCUGCAACUGUUUAUUAAAAACACAGCACUGUGCAAACACGAAAGUGGACGUAUACGGUGUGACGCCUGCCCGGUGCUGGAAGGUUAAUUGAUGGGGUCAGCCGUAAGGCGAAGCUCCUGAUCGAAGCCCCAGUAAACGGCGGCCGUAACUAUAACGGUCCUAAGGUAGCGAAAUUCCUUGUCGGGUAAGUUCCGACCUGCACGAAUGGCGUAAUGAUGGCCAGGCUGUCUCCACCCGAGACUCAGUGAAAUUGAACUCGCUGUGAAGAUGCAGUGUACCCGCGGCAAGACGGAAAGACCCCGUGAACCUUUACUAUAGCUUGACACUGAACAUUGAGCCUUGAUGUGUAGGAUAGGUGGGAGGCUUUGAAGUGUGGACGCCAGUCUGCAUGGAGCCAACCUUGAAAUACCACCCUUUAACGUUUGAUGUUCUAACCUAGGCCCAUAAACUGGGUCGGGGACCGUGUCUGGUGGGUAGUUUGACUGGGGCGGUCUCCUCCUAAAGAGUAACGGAGGAGCACGAAGGUUGGCUAAGCAUGGUCGGACAUCAUGCGGUUAGUGCAAAGGCAUAAGCCAGCUUGACUGCGAGAGUGACGGCUCGAGCAGGUACGAAAGUAGGUCUUAGUGAUCCGGUGGUUCUGAAUGGAAGGGCCAUCGCUCAACGGAUAAAAGGUACUCCGGGGAUAACAGGCUGAUACCGCCCAAGAGUUCAUAUCGACGGCGGUGUUUGGCACCUCGAUGUCGGCUCAUCACAUCCUGGGGCUGAAGUAGGUCCCAAGGGUAUGGCUGUUCGCCAUUUAAAGUGGUACGCGAGCUGGGUUUAGAACGUCGUGAGACAGUUCGGUCCCUAUCUGCCGUGGGCGUUGGAAGAUUGAGAGGGGUUGCUCCUAGUACGAGAGGACCGGAGUGAACGCACCACUGGUGUUCGGGUUGUCAUGCCAAUGGCAUUGCCCGGUAGCUAAGUGCGGAAGAGAUAACCGCUGAAAGCAUCUAAGCGGGAAACUUGCCUCGAGAUGAGUCUUCCCUGUCGCUUUAAG